UACAGAGGUCCCAAGCGUUGCUCGGAAUGACUGGGCGUAAAGGGCGCGUAGGCGGAUGGCACAGUCAGAUGUGAAAUUCCCGGGCUUAACCUGGGGGCUGCAUUUGAUACGUGUGAUCUAGAGUGAGGAAGAGGGUCGUGGAAUUCCCAGUGUAGAGGUGAAAUUCGUAGAUAUUGGGAAGAACACCGGUGGCGAAGGCGGCGACCUGGUCCUUUUACUGACGCUGAGGCGCGAAAGCGUGGGGAGCAAACAGG
rnacentral:rRNA from 1 species